rnacentral:rRNA from 1 species
GACGAACGCUGGCGGCAGGCCUAACACAUGCAAGUCGAGCGAGCGGCGGACGGGUGAGAAAUGUAUGGGGGCUGCCCGAUAGAGGGGGGUAACUACUGGAAACGGUGGCUAAUACCGCAUAAUGUUGGAGAACCCAUAUGGGAUUAGCUAGUAGGUAAGGUAAUGGCUCACCCAGGCGACGAUCCCUAGCUGGUCUGAGAGGAUGAUCAGCCACACUGUGACUGAGACACGGCCCAGACUCCUACGGAGGCAGCAGUGGGGAAGAUUGCACAAUGGGCGCAAGCCUGAUGCAGCCAUGCCGCGUGUAUGAAGAAGGCCCUAGGGUUGUAAAGUACUUUCAGUCGGGAGGCGUUACCGACAGAAGAAGCACCGGCUAACUCCGUGCCAGCAGCCGCGGUAAUUC